AUGCACCGCAAGUGCCCCAGCUGCAACGAGCCCAUCGGCGACUUCCGGUGCCGUGCCACGGAGAAGAUCCUCGCCGGCAUGACCAGGCCCUGCAGGUUCAAGAAGCACGGCUGCACCGAGACCGUCCGGUACACCGAGGCGCGCGCCCACGAGGAGGAGGCAUGCCGCUUCGCGCCGUACAGCUGCCCGUUCGACGGCUGCGACUACCGCGGCCGCCUCCUCUACGGUCACAUCCGGGACGCCCACGAGCCAGCCGGCGACGCCGCCACCUUGGCCGCCAAUAAGACGUGGACGACCCAUGCCAUGACCGUCAAGGUGACGCUACAGAAGUCGACCCCCUUCCGCGCGCUGCUCCACCCCGACGAGGAGAGCGUGUUCCUCCUGCUCAACGGCGGCGACGACCUCACGGGACGCUCGCUGUCGUUGGUCCGCAUCUGCCCAUACGCGGCUCAGGUGGACGGGCGGUACGUUGUGAGGGUGCAUGCCGAGUAUCCGUGGUGGGUGUCGGCGUCGGGGAAAGCGCAGUUCGUCCGUCAGCUGCAGGGGUACAAGGCUAGGCGCUUACUGAUCGUGCCCGACGAUUUCUGGGGCUCGUCCGGCAGCAUCACCGUCAACGUGGACCUCUUCUGA
rnacentral:rRNA from 1 species